UCAUCUCACGACUCCUUCAUCCUAAGCCAGUCAUCGCUGUUUGACAAGUUCGAAACAGGAAACAUGCCUGGUGGCUGGCUGUUAGGUAUGUAUUUUCAUUUUUUUAUUUUUUUAUUAUUUUUUUAUUAUUUUUUUUGAAUAUUUUUUACAAGUACCUAACAUUUUUUUUAUAUUUUCUAUAGGCGAUGCGGGUUAUCCAAACAAACCGUGGCUGUUGACCCCAUUGUCUAAUCCUGUUGGUAGAGCAGAAAAACGUUACCAAGAGACACACAUUGCAUCGAGGCAAAUAAUUGAACGUGCCUUCGGUGUACUUAAAAGCCGGUUUCGAUGUUUAGACACUUCCGGCGGUGCUCUUUUGUACUCACCGUCGAAGGUUUGCGGCAUGGUAAAUGCAUGUUGUAUUUUACACAACAUAUGUGUCGCAAACCGUUUGCCGGUGACUCUUCGUCGUAGUGCUUUCCGACGCGGGAACCGGUCUUCUGCUCUACCGGUGGGUAUGGGCGAAGGAGAGGAUUCCCGGCGGACAUUGAUCCAAAAUUAUUUUGCAGUUGCCUAGUUUUACAUCCUGUUGAUGUAUAUCCCCAGGCCAUGUUUGUACAGUUCGUUCCCCCCUGUUUUAUCCUGUUGGGUUACCGCAAAUAUUUGACCCUUUUAUCCAACUCUACCAUGGGCGACCUACUGGAGAUGUGGACCUGACCCUCCGCCAUGUAGCAGACAACCCCCUCAGGUCCUGCGGUGUAUCUUCCCAAGUGGCGUGGAUGUGAGGAGACACGACAUUUCACCUGAUGUUCCAUGGGCGACCUACUGGUGAUGUGGACCUGACCCUCCGCCAUGUAGCAGACAACCCCCCUCAGGUCCUGCGAUGUAUCUUCCCAAGUGGCGUGGAUGUGAAGAGACACGACAUUUCAACUGAUGUUCCAUGGCCGACCUACUGGUGAUGUGGACCUGACCCUCCGCCAUGUAGCAGACAACCCCCCCUCAGGUCCUGCGAUGUAUCUUCUCAAGUGGCGUGGAUGUGAAGAGACACGACAUUUCAACUGAUGUUCCAUGGCCGACCUACUGGUGAUGUGAACCUGACCCUCCGCCAUGUAGCAGACAACCCCCCCUCAGGUCCUGCGAUGUAUCUUCCCAAGUGGCGUGGAUGUGAAGAGACACGACAUUUCAACUGAUGUUCCAUGGCCGACCUACUGGUGAUGUGGACCUGACCCUCCGCCAUGUAGCAGACAACCCCCCCUCAGGUGAGAUGUAUUGCCCAAAACUCCCAUGUCCAAAAUCACCCCGACAUGUCCAAAGUGCAGCCCUCCGGCAUUUGCAAGACUGCACAUCCAAACAUUCCCUGAAACAGCAAUGCUAGUCAGGGAAUGUUUGGAUGUGUAGUGAUGCAAGUGCAGGAGGGUUGCAUUUGGGCCGCUGUAACCCGCUUGUGUUGUGUGGACUGUUGUAUGUACCUCUUUUUUCCAGUCCCAGGGUGACACUAUCACCCAUAUCUGGAAGCUCAA